rnacentral:rRNA from 1 species
AGUGAACGCUGGCGGUAGGCCUAACACAUGCAAGUCGAACGGCAGCACAGUAAGAGCUUGCUCUUACGGGUGGCGAGUGGCGGACGGGUGAGGAAUACAUCGGAAUCUACUUUUUCGUGGGGGAUAACGUAGGGAAACUUACGCUAAUACCGCAUACGACCUACGGGUGAAAGCAGGGGAUCUUCGGACCUUGCGCGAUUGAAUGAGCCGAUGUCGGAUUAGCUAGUUGGCGGGGUAAAGGCCCACCAAGGCGACGAUCCGUAGCUGGUCUGAGAGGAUGAUCAGACACACUGGAACUGAGACACGGUCCAGACUCCUACGGGAGGCAGCAGUGGGGAAUCUUGGACAAUGAGCGCAAGCCUGAUCCAGCCAUACCGCGUGGGUGAAGAAGGCCUUCGGGUUGUAAAGCCCUUUUGUUGGGAAAGAAAAGCAGCAGGUUAAUACCCCGCUGUUCUGACGGUACCCAAAGAAUAAGCACCGGCUAACUUCGUG